rfam:Dipodomys ordii contig_10999, whole genome shotgun sequence.
GGGAAUGUGGCUUAGUGGAAGAGCGCUUGCCUAGCAUGCACGAAGCCCUGGGUUCGAUUCCUCAGUACCA